rnacentral:ncRNA from 1 species
CAGCGGGUUGAUAGGCCGGAAGUGGAAGCACCGCGAGGUGUGGAGCUGACCGGUACUAACAGGCCGAGGGCUUGACCAC